rnacentral:rRNA from 1 species
AUGCUCGAGUUUAACUGCACACCGAAUGUUUUCUCCUACAGCAUUCUUCUCAAAGGUCUCUGUGUUGAGAAGAGAAGUCAAGAGGCUCUUGAGCUUAUUCACAUGAUGGCCGAUGCUGGAGGUAGCUGCCAACCUAAUGUGGUGGUGUCCUAUAGCACUGUAGUUGAUGGCCUGUUGAAAGAGGGUGAGGUGAACAAAGCUUACAGCCUACUUUGUGAAAUGCUACAUCAGGGGAUUUCACCGAAUGUUGUGACGUAUAGCUCAAUCAUCUUUGGCAUGUGCAAGGUUCAAGGCCGAGGAGGUCCUUCAACAGAUGUU